rnacentral:tRNA from 1 species
ACUUUCUUAGUAUGAAUUAAGUACAAUUGACUUCCAAUCAAUUAGUCCUGGCUAAAAUCUAGGAGAAAGUA